CCUACGGGAGGCAGCAGUGAGGAAUAUUGGUCAAUGGACGGAAGUCUGAACCAGCCAUGCCGCGUGCAGGACGACGGCUCUAUGGGUUGUAAACUGCUUUUAUACGAGGGUAAACCUGAAUACGUGUAUUCGGCUGACAGUACUGUACGAAUAAGCAUCGGCUAACUCCGUGCCAGCAGCCGCGGUAAUACGGAGGAUCCAAGCGUUAUCCGGAUUUAUUGGGUUUAAAGGGUGCGUAGGCGGUUUGAUAAGUUAGAGGUGAAAUGUUCGGGCUUAACUCGGGAAUUGCCUCUAAUACUGUUGGGCUAGAGAGUAGACGCGGUAGGCGGAAUGUAUGGAGUAGCGGUGAAAUGCUUAGAGAUCAUACAGAACACCGAUUGCGAAGGCAGCUUACCAAUCUAUAUCUGACGUUGAGGCACGAAAGCGUGGGGAGCAAACAGGAUUAGAUACCCUAGUAGUC
rnacentral:rRNA from 1 species